UAGAUUCUUUCUUUUUAAGGCUGAAUUUUUAAGUAGCUAGUAACAAAGCUACUUCCAAAACUUGCACACAUGUGCCAUUAACUCUAUAUUGUUGUUUACAUAUUUUUACAUAGCCUAAUAUAGUCUUCUUAUGCUGCCUUCACGUGCUUUCGGAAAUACGAGUUUCCUAGGUAAAAAAUUGCACAUUAACGCUCUCCAAUUUCAAAUCUUGAAUGCAAUGAGCAUAAAUAAACCAGCAUAAAUCCUGGUUAUGGAGAACCUUAAAGGCCCAGAACUGCAUAUUUUAGAUGUUUCCCUUAUUUGAGACACAUUUCAGGUCUUGCGACCUCUACAGUGCCCCCUGUAUGUUGAAAUGUGAUGUGCCGUUACAGUAAGUUUGCUUGACAAUUAGGCCUACUGCAUUUUUGGAAAAGAUUAACUCUUUUUAUGUGCAAUAUAACAGACAAAAAUGCUUCAGAUGUCAGAUAAGAAUGUGUCGGUUACAAAAUUUACUAGCCUAUAUCUCUCAGGGGUAAGAGUUUUUUUUUUUUUUAAAUAUCAAAAUUAUCUUAAGCUCAUAAAGGCUGAUAUUAUUUAAUCAAAACUACAGUAAAAGCAUUAAAUAAUUACAUGAAAGCAUGAAAUAUUACAAUUUAAAAAGAACUAUUUACAUUUUGUCCUGUGAUGACGAAGCUGAAUUUUCAGCAGCCAAUAUUCCAGUCUUCGGUGUCACAUGAUCCUUAAGAAAUCAUUCUUAUAUGCUGAUUUUGUGCUCAAGAAACACUUUGAUCAACACUAGUUUGACUAGUAAACCCUUAAAAUUUUGCCUGCCCAAAUGGUUUCAUGUAUGCUUUAUUUAAUUGAGUGGAACAUUGUUUCCACACUCAACUCAUUGACUCAUGGAAAGGAGAGCUGCCUAUAGUACAGGCUCUGUUUUUGGGAUUCUAGUUCAGUGGCUAUUUAAGUUCAGUCCAUGUGAAAUUCCCAUCAUUUUUAAAUUGGCAGUUUCUCUUAGCAGUCCUCACCACAAUGGUAUCCCGUUUGUAUGUAUGAUUAGACCCAUAUAUUAUGUAAUACGUUACAUGAGUUACAAGGACUGUCUCAUUUUGCGUGAUUCAACUCGUGUAUAUAAACUAAACAUUAACUGCUCAUAGUGGAUAGGAAAGUGGCAGAACACUAAUCAUAGUAGAUGCAGUUCUUGGCUACAAACCCUCAAUUUAGAGCUUUAAAUUACACACAAAGUGCAAACCUUAGAUCUGCCGUGGUCCAUGGACAACAGAAUCAACCCAUCAAAAAAUAAAAAGAAGAAAACUCUCAAACAAAACUCUGUCCACAGAAACCACUCAUCCAUUACUCUGACUCCAGUUCUCGCUGAGCUGCUCCGAUCAUUCCAAAACAUUACAUCAUUGCACGGAGAGGGAACAUCGCUACUAUGGCCAGAGCGGCUGCCAAGGCGUCUGCACAGGACUGUACACUGACUUCUUUGUGAUGUCCACAAUACGUAUCCAAGGCGACCCUAGAGAGGACGGCCCAUAAGGGAAUGUUUCUUGUCUUCCACGACGACACUGGUAAUGUUAAAUAUUCUGUUGCUGACCAGACUGUUAUCGUUUGAAGACGCUGCUGACGUCUGCCGCAGCUUCAUGCAGCAUUUUUUGUUGGGUAGCCCCUCAUAUUAUCCUAUGUUCUGUGCUGAACAUUGCCCAUUGAUCUCUCAUUGAAAAUACUGACAGAUUGGGCCCUUGUUUUUGACCCAGGAACUUCCCAACAGGCCGUAGUGCAUCCAGAAGCCAUGUUUGAGGUCUGCUCAGCUUGUUUAUGUACGGUUACACCCAGAGCUGAAUUUAACCCCAGCUUCCAUCUGCUGCAGCACCCAGGGCCCUGCAAGGAGAUGAGACCGGUUUGGGUCGGUCUGUGCCGCUCGCUUACUACUAAGCACAACUUGCUCCUAUGUGUUAUUAUCGUCAGAGGCGUCUCCUCUGUGGCAGUAUUCUUUUUUAGCCAGGUUUUUUCCCCCCUAUUUUUAUAUGCUUACAUUGACCUUGAGGUUCAUUUAAGGUACCUUUUAGCCGGAUUUUCAUGUUUCAUUUUAUGGUAAAUAUGAAAUUAUUUAAGUAAUAAAUAAGGAAAUAUUUCAUGUUAAGAAAAACAUAUUACAAAAAUUUUCACUCAUAAAACAAUUUCUUAUUAGCAUUUUAUUGAAUUUUUAGCCAGUUUUCAUGUCAGUUUUAUAGUAAAUAUGAAAUUAUUUAAAUAAUAAAUAAGGCAAUAUUUAACAAAUAAUAAUAAAAAGGAGGAAAACGCAUUAUAAAAAACAGAUUUAGCCAUUUUGCUAAUUGUAACUCAAAACAAUUUUAUAUAAGCAUUUUAUUGAAUUUUGUUUUUAGCAAGAAUUCCAUGUCAAUUUUAUGUAAAAUACUAAAUAAGGAAAAAACACAUUAUAAAAAAUGAAUUUUGACGGUCAUUUUCACUCUUAGGAUAAUUUUAUAUUAGCAUAUCAUUUUAGACGGAUUUCAUGUCAAUUUUAUGGAAAAUAUGAAAUUAUUUAAAUAAUAAAUAAGGAAAUAUUUAACAAAGGAUAUAAAAAAGAAGUAAAAGACAUUUUAGUAAGUCAUUUUCACUCAUAAGACAACUUUCUAUUAGCAUUUUAUCAAAUUUUGUUUUUAGCCUAAUCUUUAUGGUACAUUUAAUAAAUAUUGAAAUAAAAAUUUAACAAUGAAUAUUAAACAUUAGGAAAACAUUUUGUCAUUUUGACUUUCAUUUUCACUCAUAAGACAAUAUUCGAUUAGCAUUUUAUUGAAUUUUGUUUUUAGUCAGAUUUUAUGGUAAAUACAAAACAUUUAACAACGAAUAUUGGGAGGUGGAAAACACGUCAUAAAAAAUUAAUUUUGUCAUUUUGACUGGCAUUUUGACUAAAAAGACAUUUUUCUGUUAUAGCAUUUUAUCAGUUUUGGCAAAUUUAUACUAAUCUACUUGCGCUCCAACCUUGUUUUCAGAUUAAAUUUUGGGAGUCUCUCCUAAACUGGUGCUGUUCCUCCCUCCUUCUGUCAUGCCACAGAGCUAGUAUUCUGGGCUUCAGUGUGCCCUAUUGGCCUAGCCACAGGCAGGCAGCCUUUCAUUACGCUAGCCGAAGGAGGUGCCCUGGACAUCCCCAUCGAAGACACAUCACCACACCCCAAAGUGUGCCCAGUUCCUCGGUUCUCUGUAUACGUCAACAAGAGAGAUGAACAAAAUAGCCACUCUGUAUGCGCGUCAUUUGACUGACGAUUGUCAAGGGUGUUUCCAUGUCUAUGACGCUGGGCUCCGGCAUCCCCAUAACCCCCAAGCGGUUUGGAAACUGGAUGAAUGAAUGUCGUGGCUGGAACUACAACGCCCUCUGCUGAUGAAAUACAACUUGCAAGGCAGUUCCUUCUUUUACAUCACAUAAAAGUAUGUAUUUCAUUAAAAAGGUCAUACAUAAUAUAGCCUACAUCAAUAAUGUAAUGAGUGAGACUAUACCAGCUAAUUCAACUUUGUGGUUUUAUGAUAUAAUAGAAAGAAUUAAAAUUAAAUUAAAGAGAUAAUGUGUGCCCGCAGCUAAAAUUUGGCAGUUUAACCCUAGUUUUGUCAAAAUUAAAAAUAUAAGGGUCAAUGUUCCAGGUAGAGUUUGAAUUUAUUAUUAAUUUUAAUCAAAAUAUUACAUCUUUGAUUAUGUCUUAUCUGCAUGCCAAUAUUAUACUGGUCACCAGAGGGCAGUAUGGCACUUUUUACAUCAAAGUAAGUGUGUGUGUGUGUGUGUGUGUGUGUGUGUGUGUGUGUGUGUGUGUGUGUGUGUACAGGUUUGGCUAUAUUUGUGAUUUCCUCACAAUAUACUGAAAUGUGUCAAAAAAUAGCUUUUGUAGAACUUUUGCAGUGAUCCUUACUAUUUGAAAGGUCAGUUUUUUUGGUUUAUCUCUCUUUUGCUUUGAUGAGAGCUGCACUGGAGCUGAACUCCACAAACCUGAUGAUCACGUUCCCCAGAAUGAUCCAGUGAGUAUGGAAGAUGGAAGAACGGAAGAUCAUCUGAACGCAUAGUCUCAGCGGAUUAAUCGGGUUGCUGAACUGAGCAUCAGCAGCUGCUCCUUAUCCUUAUCAUCGCCGUAACGACCGGCCAGCCGUCGCCUCCGACAGAAUCCUGCAGGGACCUGAAUUAAUACUCGGUAUAAUUCCACACAAUCCCAAGAAAAAUCUCGUCCUGCUGCCAGGCCACUUGACCCGUGUGUUCCAGUGGGCUCUGGGUGGCACCAGCAAUCUCUGUAAUCAUUCAGUAAGCCUCUGUGCUGCUCAGUUCAGCUGCUUCUUCAGAGCAUUUAAAAAAAGAGCAGAGCUGGGGUGCACUGUGUGUCAAACAUGUAUGUUUAUCCUGUCCAGUAAUUAAAAUGGAGUUGCUUAACAUGGCUCCCAUAUGUAAAUACAUGAAUAGACAUGCAAACAAACACACAUAUGGACCAUGAUCACCCCACACAAAUUGAGUUAUGGACACCAUGUCUUUCAAAACCAGUUGAAAAAUUAAACUAAUUCAUUAAGAUGAGUGUGUUUUCAUUCAUGUCAAAGAAAGUGUAAGGAAGGAAAAUAUCUUUUCAUUUAUUUGCAUUUAUUAAAAGACAAUAAUAUAGUUUUGAAUUAACAGAAAAUGUUAUAUUAUUUAAUAAAAAAUUAUAUUUGUUUCUUCAAAAUGAAUUUAAGGAUGUAAGGAAAUAAUUAAUACACUUUUAAGUGUGGGUUAAAGGGAUAGUUCACCCA